GGGGUCUUAACGCUUUCUGAAGGCACUGUAUCUCAACAUUAAAUGUCCCAAGUCUGUGUGUAUGGGGGCAUUAACGUCCUGGGUAAUUGAAACAUAUGGGAACAGUGUUUGCCCUAUAUUUCAUCAGACCCAAUGACUCCGAAGAGAUGGGUGCCCAUACCAUUACUUAUUCCGUGUCAUGUUUAACAGUUCCAGGUUUGUGAAGCUCAGGAGGUACAGUUUUUGUUGACUGGGUGCUGAUUCAAUUGUGGUAAUUUUUUGGCUGGGCUUUUGGGGCAUUAAACAACUACCCUGAUGAGUGUCUAUCCCUGUCGGUUAGCUUCAACUUGCGACCGCUGUUCAUCUUUUGCUGAUCUUUUUCUAUAUUUGCUGUCAUCUACGUUACGUUUGCAAUCAUUAUGCUGCCCAGAUUUUUGAGACGUUGAGUCGUUUUCAGUUUUUGUGAGCGAUGCACCUUCAGUUUGGGCUCUAACUAUUUGUCCUCUUUGAAACUAUUUUUUAGCUCAUGUUGUUUAAAGACUAAAAUAUCAAAGUGCUAAUUGUCAUAUCUCUUUUGUACCUUACGUGUGCUGUGACUUGACAAUCAACCUAUGUGACCUCUUGCUAUUAUUUGUCCAUCCCCUGUAGUUAGUAACAGCAAAAUGUCCAUCAGUGUCGUAUGUUUCCCCCAGUGGCCAAAUUAUUGCAAUUCAUUCAGUUUGUUUUUUGUAUUUUAACCUGUGAGUCAUCACCUGUUGUGCAUUGCCAAAAUCUAUUAAAUCUAUAAAUCUAUAUUCAUGGCACACAUAACAAAUGAGUGAACAGUGGCAAUUUUUGAUGUUGUGAUAAGUGUUUUAUGCUUCUGGAGAUAUUAAUGAAUCUUUAUUUUUCUUUUACAGAAAUGGAUUACAUUUUCAAUUUGCAAAAACAAGAUCCAAAAAGAAUAGUCUUCUAUGACACGACCAAGGAUGGACCGGAUCAGUGAGCUAGUGAAUGUCAACGCUAACCUAACUCCUUACCUGGGUGCUGCAGUUACCUAUGGCGGUUACGAUCCCUUUGCAAAACAAAACGAGUAAACUGUGAUACAAGGACUGAUGUCCUGUGACAUAUUUAUAUUGCCAUAUAGAUUGGGAUAAUGGAGACUUGUUUCUUGGGGGAAGGGUUAGUGUGUCAAAUAAGAGGACAACUACAAGGAGAAGGGGGAUAAGAGGACAAAUCUCAUUAUUGUAAAAAGUUGAGCGCAGGAGCUUUUGCCAAAGCUCUGGUCUUCACAAACACUCAAACACUUGAAAAAAGGAGAUUGGAUGCCUCUACCAUGUGAAUGGACUCUUGUGACACUUACUGCUGUAAUAGACAAUGGUCUCAUUGCUCCUUCCUCUGGAUGUUCGGGAGAAAUAAGACUGAGGAAGGUGCAAAUUGCACCUCCUGAGCCUUUAUUUUGUUGCCCAUUUAACUGUGGUGACUAUCAGCCUGACAGUAGGAUGCCUCAAUUGUUUUAUUUCCUUAUGCAUUCAAAUUUAGUUUUGUCUCUUCCACUCUGUGUGUGUGUGGUUCUGUGUGUGUGUGUGUGUGUGUGUGUGUGGUUCUGUGUGUGUGUGUGUGUGUGGUUCUGUGUGUGUGUGCGUGGAUUUAUACAUACACAUGAGUAUGUGCACAUUUUAAUUCAUUUUGAAAGAAAAUGAACAAACUCUCUAAGAAUGCCUUGAAUUUUGAAAAGCUGAAAAAGCUGAGCAGAAGGCUGGUAGUGUUAGUAGUACUGUCUCCAGGUUAAAUUAUAUUUAAGGGGAAAGCAUUUGUCUUAAUUGCUUUGUUAAACAAACUAUGCCCAGCAAAGAACUGGCUCCUGGGCAUUUCUUGUUUGAUAUAUAUUUUUUGUUUCUCUUGUAUGGUUCAGUGAUUUUAGAUGUGAUCUACAGUAGGAACAAACUCUAAGAGCACAGAUGGAGAAGUGUCCAAUUAGAACGGAACUAAAGCCACGUCCUCCUAAUCUGGUGGUUUGGUUGUCAGUUGGAGACUUUCUUUGGUAUUAUAUUUGUUUUCAUCAGUUUUAAUUUUUUUAAUUUAUUUGUAUUAAUUUGUUUCUUAAGCCCUUGCAUUUAUAGUCCACAUAUAUCAUUAAUUUCAGAUUAUGAUUGAGGCUAUUUUUAGUUUUAGUUUCUCAUCAGCUGUUCACGUGUGGAAAUUUUCUGGAAGAUGAGAAAAGUGACUUAAUGUGGAGCAAGGGCUAUCUAUGUAUGUGACAUUUCUUACAAAAAGUUUUUGUGUAUUUGAGCAGUAAGGAGGCUUAAAGUGUCUGUCUAAUUCAUUAGGCCUAUGUAGGUAAAAUUCGCUGAAACCACAUGAAGAAAUGGCUUAUUUUCUUGCCCAAGCUUGUCAUAGCUAACCACCCUAGCCUAGGAUACUUUGCUAUUUCAGCAUUUGGUCUUUAUCCACUCUCUGGUUAUGACAAUGUAUUUCUUGCACAUGUUUGCUGGUGUAGAUGAGUGAGUGGAUGAGAUGUGAGAAGUUGCAGUAUAAUAUAUUUAACCAAGCAAGGAUGACAGACUGAAAACAAUCGCAAUACUAAGUUACCAUUUCAUUUCCCAGACCAGAUGCUUUUUUUUGUUAUACUGUUUAUAUGUUGAGGUAAUGAAAUUACUUAAUACCAUAUCAUCCAGCAGUGUCUUUGAUCAUAGUGGCUGUGUUGAAGCCUGAUUAUGUCAUGGCAUGCCAAAUUUGGCAGAACUAUAAGUAGACAGCCACAAUGACAUUGGUACUACCAUCGUUCAGUUUAUUUUCUCUUGUUUGUUUUGAGCUAACGGAGCAAUUGUCUUAGUUAUAUUUCUCUGGUUAUUAUGUGGGUUAAUAGCACUUUAUUAAACUUUUUUUCUAAAAUACAGAUACUAUAUAUAGUUACAUGAAAUACUAACAUCUUUUAAGAAUGGCUUUUGGCUGUUGGUUCUUCUUAAGAAAAAAACAUGACCCCUUACCGAAAUACAAAAUUUCCCUCAGGUAGCAUUGGUAAAGCCAUGACAAAGUUGGAAGAAUUUUAUUUGUCUGCCAAAUGGUUCAACACAAGGUCUAUGUAUUGUGCUCCAAUUAUAGUAAUAAAAAAUAUAAUUUGAAUAGCUGAAAUAUUGGAGUAAUAUGUAAUUAUAAAUAGAGCUGUGGUAAUACACAAACUAUUUAGAUGGCAGAAAAAACUGCCAUGGCUUUAAAGUAGCUGUCAACAUAUUAGCAGGGCUGGGCGAUAUUAGCCAAAAAUUGUCAUGAUACACCCCCCAUCCGGAUGAUAUAUGGUAUAUUCCCUAAUGAUUAUGAUGGUUAUAAUGAUUAUGUAUUCCUCGCACAAAUACUUUAUUAAGAUAUAUUGAAAACUUUCAGCUUGUCAGUCAAUUUAAGUGGAAUUGAUGCGGUCCUAUUGUUUUGUGUUUUGGAGCUUGCUUAAAAUAAAAUAUUUCCAGGUUUUUGAUUUCCCCCAGGUUGUGUUUUGUUUAACUCAUAAAUAUGUAUGGUUACUUUCUAUUUGAGAAAAAACACAGUGGAUGUUCUAACUUCACAACAAUGCUUAAACCAAAUCAACCUUUGUGUUUUAUUUUUAUUUUGCAUGUACAACCCCCUUUUCCAAACAAAUUGGGCUGCUGUGUAAAAUGGAAAUAAAAACAGAAUGCUUAGAUGUGCAAAUCAUUUAAACCCUAUAUACAAUAGAAAAUAGUACACUGAAAACAUCAAAUGUUGAAACUUAAAAAUGUUAUUGUUCCUUAAACUAUAUGCCCACUUUAAUGCCAGGACCACAUUUCAAGAAAGCUGGGACAGGGGCAACAAAACACUGGAAAUGUUGUGUAAUGCAAAAAAACGAAUAUCACACAACUAAUUAGGUUAAUUCGCCACAGAUCAGUAACAUGAUUGAGCAUUAGAAGAGCAUCCCAGAGAGGGGGAGUCUUUCAGAAGUAAAGAUGGGGAAGGUUUCACCAUUCUGUGAAUGACUGUGUGGGCAAAUAGUGCAACAAUUUAAGAAUAAUGUUUCUUAACGUAUAAUUGCAAAGAGUUUGGGGAUCUCAUCAUCUACGGUACAUAAUAUCAUUAAAUGAUUCAGAGAAUCCAGAGAAAUCUGUAUGCAAGGGACAAGGCAAAAAAACUAUAUUGGAUGGCCAUGAUCUUCGGGCCCUCAGAUGGCACUGUAUUAAAAACAAACACGAUUCUGUUGUUGACAUCGCUGCAUGGUCUCCGGAAUAAAUCUGAAAACCAUUGUCUGUGAACAAAGUUUGUUGCUGCAUCCACAAAUGUAAAUUAAAACUCGACCAUGCAAAGAAGAAACCAGAUAUAAACAAGGUCCAGAAACGCUGCGGUGUCCUUUGGACCCAAGCUCAUUUAAGAUGGACUGAAGUGUGGGAAGAGGAAAACUGUCCUGUGGUCUGACAAAUCAAAAAUAUGAAUUAUUUUUGGGGUUCAUGGACGAAGCGUCUUUUGGGCUAAAAAGGAAAGGGAUCAUCCUGGAUGUUAGCAGUGCACAGUAAAAAAGCCAACAUCUGUGAUGGUAUGGGGGUGCGUCUUUUUCAGGGAAGGCCCUGCUUAUUUCAGCAGGACAAUGCCAAACCACAUUCUACAUGAAUUACUACAGCAUAGCCUCUUAGUAAAAGAGUCCAAGUGCUAAACUGGCCUGCCUACAAUUCAGACCUGUCACCCAUUGGAAAUAUUUGGUGCGUUAUGAUAGGAUAAAAUAGGACAAAGGAAACCCCGAACUGUCGAGCAGUUGCAAUCCUACAUCAAUCAAGAAUGGGAAAACAUUUUGCAUUCAUAACUACAGCAAUUGUUUGUCUCAGUUCCCAAAUGCUUACUGAGUGUUGUUAAAAGAAGAGGUGAUUCAACACAGCGGUAAACAUGCCCCGUCCAAACUUUUUUAAAACAUGUAGCUGGCAUCAAAUUCAAAAUGGGCAUAUAUAUUCUUCCAAAAACUAAAAUUUCUCUGGUUGUUUUUGUACUAUUUUCAAUUAAAUAUAGGGAUUAAAUUAUUUGCACGUCAUUGCAUUCUGUUUUUAUUCGUAUUUUACGCAGCGUCCAAACUUAUUUUGGAAGCAGGGCAAGAGACUUGUUUGGCUGGCUGUGUUUCUGUAACACACAUCAUCGCAGCAUUUUAUAAAUAUAUUGCCAGUGUUGCGAUGGUCAUAAUUUUAUUAUGACAGGUAAGCAUAGCCUGUUUUGUAGCUCAGGGUUCUUGGAAAUUAGGAAAAUCAUUGUCUGGCAGGGGAACUUUAUUUUAACAGAUGCAUUAUUUUAGCUAAAAGAUAACAUUUAUGGAUGUUUUUGAAAUUCAAAUAAAUAUUUGAAAUUUAAAUAUAAACAGCCACCUCACCACAGGAUUAGAAUACCGUCAACAUUUUUAACAAUGUAUUUAAAAUAAAAUGGCCAAUAAGGAAUACUAACAGAACGUUCUGAAACAUCUAAUUACUUAAAAUAACCCUCUGACUUUAAACUCUCAAAACUGUAGUUGUCAUAGUAAAAACAAUGUCAACUCCAUCUCCCUAAAGUUUAAAGAUACAACAUUUAUUUUGAUUAAAAUAUUUGUUUUAAUUUGGUUUUAGCAACUGAGGAAAACAAAAUUCCUAUUAUAUGCCACUUGAUGGAAAACAUUUUUGUAUUUUUUUCCUCAAAUGCAUAAAACAAUAACUGCUUUAGAUAUGUCUAAUUUCAACCAUUAGAGUACUGAAAAUUAUUAUAGAAUGGCUGUAUUCUGGAUAUAAUGGCUUUAUUCUGGAUUUUCUAAAUGUAUAUUUUUCUAUGUGUUACAGGAGUUUGUAUUCCCCCCCUUUUUUUUAUAUCUUUUGGGAAAUCUCAACUCUAUCACUGAUGGCUAACUUUCUGAUAUAUUUUGUCAGUUCUCAAAAAACGAACGUUAACCACUGUUCUGCAAGCUCUUGAGGUAUUGACUGUCCCAGACCUAAUGAAGAAAAUGGCUAAAAGGCUAAUGAAAUUAAUCCAAGGGGCCUAGGGUGGUCCAGCAGUCUUAAGCUGUUAAAACUAAAAAUGCCAAAUGUAUUGCUGUAUGGUAUCUUUCCAUCUAAGAUUUUACUGUUAGUUCUGAAACUUUAGCACUAUACAAAUGUAAUUCCCACAUUGAUUAUAAAUUGUAAACUAUUUCCUAACCUAUUGGUUUGAAUGUCAUGCCUUGUCAACUCAUUGCGAAAGGAUCAAAUUGAGGGAAUUAAGUAAACUAGAUGACAAUAGUCAAGCAUUAUGUAGUGACAGGUGUAUCCAAUAGAAUAUAAGGUUAUGGUAAACUUACCAAAGUAAAAUGGCAAGUUGUUUAGCUGGUCUGAUUGGGUCCCUCCCUGUGAUGCUUGUGUCCACUGACCGGAGCAGCAUGUCAAUCUGCCUCGGUCAAAACAAAAGUACUGGCAAAAUUCUUCCAAAUACUGUAUGCUAGCUACAACUCUGACAAAAUGAUGGAACUCACCCCAGGUUCAUAAUAUCAUGUUAAUAUAAUGAUAACAUUUCCAUGUUUAUUUUAUGAGUGGGAUGCAAUUUAUUGGCUUGCGGUAUAAAAACAAAAAAUACCAGUAUGUACUUCAUAGCGUAAGCAUUCACAUAUAUGUUCCUACAGCAUUGGUUUGAAUCUUGCUCACUGCUGUUGUAGUCCAAAUGUUCUCUGUCUUUAACCAUCUUUCUAUUAAAUAAAGCAUAAAAUCCCUGAAAUAAAUUACUUUGACAUUUGCCCUGGGACAAUUAUAUAGUAUUGUAAGACAAAAUAAAAAUACAUUUUGAAAAUCUUAUUAUUUUAUCUAAAUAAAUAAAUUGGACAAACUAAACUUGUGAAGGCUUUCAUCGUGACAGAGUUGACUUUUAUUUGGCUCUAGAUUGUUUGUUUUAUAUGUUGCGCUACUUUGGUCAAUUAAAAUGCAUUUUGCAAAUGUUAAUAUUAAGACAAAAUAUUUGUGGAAAAGAUAGGGAUUGUCCUGAUUUUUAAAAAUCUUGUAGUUAACAUUUAAUUUAGAAGGUUUAUGGAAUAUACCAAAAGAUAGGGUUUCAUAUUAGCAUUAUUGCUAAAGGCUAAGUUUGAACAGGGCAUUCCUUCAUUGCUUUGUCAAAGUUUAGGGAAAUUACAAAUCAUGUCUUAUGAUUCAAUACAUUAAGUUGAUUUCCUUAUUUGAUUUCCAUUUGCCUGGUUUCCAUAAUUCUGUCUGUAUUCUCUGCAUCAUAUUUUAUUGAGCAGGAGCCCCUAUGGACAUAUAGGGCCCAAAAGAACGCUGUUGACAGUGGAAUUUCUUUUUCUCUAAAGCUUUGUUGUGAUAAACGAUCUAUGUCUCUUAUCGUCUAGUUGUUAGUCUUGUUGUUAUAAAUAUAUCUAUACUUAAUCGCCCAGCCCUAAAUGUACGGCUUCAAAAGUACUCUAAGGCAAUUCCACUGAAAUAGGCACACAGAUUUGCACAGGUUUCCACCUGUUGUCUGAUGAUAAUAUACUCUCUUUGUAAAAAAAACUAAAGCACUUGUCAGUGUUCCACUGCUGGAAGCCAGAUCAGGUUAUAUACAAUAGCAGGAGUCUACCUGAGCUUCCUAGUCUAGCCCUGGCUUGGGUUUUCUGCUCGGUCAUGGCUAGUUCUUGCAGUCUGAGGGAGCCACUAGGACACCCACCCCUGUUGUGUGCAAACCUAUGUCCCUUUCCCACCAUUGGGUUACUUUACUGUGAAAUUCUAAGCAAAGGAUUGUCCUCUGGGAUAUGAUAUUUAAAACCUUUUGUUAUGCUUACAUUGUGCUCAGUGUGUUGAGUAAGUGUGAUAACAAACGGUUAAACAAUCUAGCAAACAUUUUGUAUUAUUUUAUUUUGACUUGAUAGGCAUUUGGAAUAGUUAUGGUGCUUUGAAUGACAAAGUUUGAGUGGUUUGUGAUGGUGGACAUCAACGGAUUAAACUCUAAUGGGUUUAUGCACUUGAUUAUUACAUUAUCAUUUGAUGAUGUAACUUUACUAGGUUCCCCUAAAUAUUAAAACAGAAAAUGCCAGAUGAUAUCAUGGGGUAAAGAAGCCAUAUUUUAAUGUUCUAUUACCCUAACCCUUUGUCAUAGUGGGAUAAUCAUUAGCCCUAAUUGGGUGGGCAGUGUAUGUGUAGAAGUGCUCUAAUAGUUCAAAGUAUAGUAUGUUUUCAUUGUUCCAGAUGAUUCUCCUUUUUCUUUGCUGAAUUUGAGUCUUAAAAGAAGGGAAAUAUCAGAAAUAAAUUAUCUGACCUAAUUAUUAAGAAGCACUUAAUUACACAAAUUGGUAUUAUUAUUAUUUUCUAAAUGCAUUUUAGAAAAAUUGUAUCUACAUUAUAUUCCGUUAAUGUAGUAGCUUGUAAACCAAAAACUGGUUCUUCACUUGGUUUGAGAAAUACUCUGCUAGGGGAAUGAGGGAAUUGGUGUGUUUGUGUGGUGAAAGAAAAUGGAAGUGGUGAGUUUGUAUUUUAAAACCCUUUUGGAUGUGCAAUGACUUCAAGAAUACUUACACAGGCCUCUGAUUACUGAAUGAUGGGCCUUAACAGUUUGUGUUUUAUGUAAAAGUGAGUUCAUCCAAUAAUAUGCAAGUUAACUUUUUAUUCCCCAAGAUCCCUGUCAUGUUUAGGUGCCUGUGUGAAAAGUAUGCUUUUACAUUGAUUUAGAUUAAUGUAUUUUUUUGUGUGAAAAUUAUUUCACAUUUUUAUUCACAUUUUUCUUUUACGAUGGCAAUGCUGUAAUACAAUGUCUUAUAGCGUCCCGUGUUGCUUUCAUUUACUGACAUGAAAGUAACUGAAAGCAAUGUGUGUUUUAGAGAUUUUGAAUGACUUUGAGAAAUUUAUGAUCUGCUAAUUAUUCUUCAGUGUGCUUGCAUUUUAUUGAAAGGUUUCUUCUAGUCA
ensembl:lncRNA